UCGGGUGUUUGAGGUUUGGAGAAAGUGAAAUUCUAGGGGGUUAAGGUGGUCAGUGGAUGGAGUGAGGGGGUUGUUAAUUUUGAUUUUAAUUUAUUUGUUUUUAUUUAUUUUGUUUUUUCAAAAUUUCCUCUGUCUGACUUUUUUCUUCUUCUUCUUCUCUUCUCCUUUAUUUUUUUCUCUCCUGAGUAAAUUUCUUUUCUCUCCAUCCUUCAAUCCUUGAUUUUUAUUAAACCGUGUGUUUUGUUGGUUGAUCGGCAUUGUGGUGCACUUGUCACUUUAUUC
rnacentral:lncRNA from 1 species